UCUUUCUUUCUUUCUUCUACAGAGAGAACUCACUCUCAGAGAUGACCAUAACCCAAUUGAUCCCACCUCAGCCCUCAACCUCUCCAAGCUCCACAGUGAUCCUACCUCGAUGUGACGCCGUGAUCCCAGGUGAGUCUCUCUCUCUACUCUCUGUCAAUUGAAGCUGGAUUGAGUUCUCGAUUGUCAACUGAGCCCUAACCCGAUUGAGUCUCUUUGUGUGAUGCCAACGCAACCCUGAUCGGAAGAGUCACUAACGCUGAAUGUCGUGCCCCCCCCCCCCCCCCCCCCCCCCCGGGGGGACCCUCUGAACUAAAGGCUGAAACUUAGAACUCGUCGAGUUCGAGUUCGGCUCCUGCCCUUGUCUCGCUCCGCCAGCUCUCCACGGAGUCUCCGCUAGCGAAUUGUGUCCUAUGUAGCAGCUCACUAGCUUAGAGGAUCAGAGGAAGCUGAAACAUGAAACCUAUGAACCUGUGGGACAUUGGGGAUUGAUCGAGCUGUUGGCCCUAACCGAUUUGAAGCCCUCGGUUAUGAAUUACGGAGAAGAAAGUGACGAGGGCUCGAAGGAGUUGCAAAGAUCAAAUAAGGGUUGAGUUUAUCAAUUCACUGCUCUUCCAUAAACUUCAAUUGCUUUAGGAAAUAAACUAAACUCUUCCAUUGCUUUUGUUCUCCUAAGCUUGCAUGAGCUUUACUAGUAAAACUUUAGUAGCUGA